rnacentral:rRNA from 1 species
AGUAACGCGUGGGUAACCUGCCUUAUACUGGGGGAUAACAGCCAGAAAUGACUGCUAAUACCGCAUAAGCGCACAGAACCGCAUGGUUCGGUGUGAAAAACUCCGGUGGUAUAAGAUGGACCCGCGUUGGAUUAGCUAGUUGGCAGGGCAGCGGCCUACCAAGGCGACGAUCCAUAGCCGGCCUGAGAGGGUGAACGGCCACAUUGGGACUGAGACACGGCCCAG